AGAGAAAAGAAAAUUAUCGGGUAUUCUGAUUGGCCAAAGCACAGUCCAGGAAGAGAAAAUAGUUUGCUUAUAAAACGGUGUUUUUCGUCCGUAUAGUGUAUACUUUUAGGACAGGACAACAAAUUUACAAGAUUUCAGGGAAGAAACCGGGUGAACAUUCAUUGGUUAAAAAAUCUCAAACAUGCAGAUCUUUUGCUCAGUGUAUUUGUUUGUUUUCUUGACGAGCUCUUCAUUUGCUUAUAAAGAUGGGCCAUUUGAAGUGGAAAAAAUAACAGAAGAAUUUGAAGAUAUCCUAAUAGUGAAAGACAUCUCCGGAAAGACAGUAGCAAGUAUUGAGGUGUUUCAAGAUGAUAUCAAAAGGAUUUAAAAUUACCAAGACAACACAUUCUUGACUAGUUUCGACCUUUAUGUCUUCGUCAGAAAUAACAUAUUGUUAAGGAAAUAAAGAAAUAUCAACUUGUAAAGCCAAUCGCUGAAGAUGAUUAUGUUUGCUAUGUCUCACGUUUAAGAAUGCAGAAAAAGGAAACCACAACAUGUUAUGAGCGUAUGCCUUUACCAAAAGGUGUAGAAGAUCAGAUUGAUCUAACAGAAUGUGAAGAUCGUGAUGUAAUUUUCCUUCAUCCUACAGAUUGCGAAAAGAAUGACGUAAAGGGGGAAGAUGAUGGUGAACUAAAGAGACAAAAAAGAGGUUGCUAUACCAAACAAGAAGUAAAGAGCGUAUGCGUAGAAGAAAAAAAGUACUGCAAGAGGUACGGAUGGUGGUUCGGAGCAGGAACGUGUAAAUCUUGGGGCGUAAAAUGUUUGACGUAUGAUAUUCGCGAAGUGACAACUAGAAUGUGUUCGUAAUAUAUAUGUUUCAAGACACUGAUAAACUUAGUGCAUUUUCAAACUAGUUUAGAAAUGAAAAGCUAAGCUAAAUACCUUAUGUAUUACGUACCUGAAUUCAAAAACAUUAAUUACAGUAAGUUUCGUGCAGAUACUAAAACUCAUUUGCUUAAUAUUCAAAUAGUUUACAUGUAGUAUGUCUUUAGAAACAUCACCAGAGCUCGCUUGAGUACACCAUCAUCAAUUUAUGUAUUUGGUAUGAAAUCUGAUAAAUAUGUCUUUUAAACAAUAAAAGAGUAGGAAGCAUU
rnacentral:misc_RNA from 1 species